rnacentral:rRNA from 1 species
GAUGAACGCUGGCGGCGUGCAUAACACAUUCAAGUCGAACGGUGACAGAGACUUCGGUCUCUUGAUCAGUGGCGGACGGGUGAGUAACGCGUGAGCAACCUGCCUUCGAGAGGGGAACAACGGGUAGAAAUGACCGCUAAUACCGCAUAAAGCAUAGAGAUCACAUGGUUUUUAUGCCAAAGAUUUAUCGCUCGAAGAUGGGCUCGCGUCUAAUUAGAUAGUUGGUGAGGUAACGGCUCACCAAGUCGACGAUUAGUAGCCGGACGGAGAGGUUGAACGGCAGCAUUGGAACUGAGAUACGGUCCAGACUCCUACGGGAGGCAGCAGUGGGGAAUAUUGGGCAAUGGGCGCAAGCCUGACCCAGCGACGCCGCGUGAGGGAAGAAGUCCUUCGGGAUGUAAACCUUAGUCGACAGGGACGAAGAAAUGACGGUACCUGUAGAGGAAGCCACGGCUAACUACGUGCCAGCCGCCGCCGUAAUAC